rnacentral:rRNA from 1 species
GACAGAGGGGGCAAGCGUUGCUCGGAAUUACUGGGCGUAAAGCGCACGUAGGCGGUCAGGCAAGUCGGGUGUGAAAGCCCUGGGCUCAACCUGGGAAUGGCAUUGGAAACUGGCUAGCUGGAGUGUGGCAGAGGGGGGUGGAAUUCCGCGUGUAGCAGUGAAAUGCGUAGAGAUGCGGAGGAACACCGAUGGCGAAGGCAGCCCCCUGGGCCAACACUGACGCUCAGGCACGAAAGCGUGGGGAGCAAACAGG